rnacentral:lncRNA from 1 species
UUAUAAAUUCUCUUUGAUACUUCAAAAUUCUUAUUUUAUCAGACUUGUUUUCACAGAGUUGAUUUUCAAAAGAAAGAGUCACAUUACAUUUAAUAAUAAACAAGCCUCUGGGUAAGCUCACAUUUUUUAAAUUAUGUAUUUCAGAGCAUAUAUGUAAUUAGAGGUAAAUUACCCUUAUGUAAGGUCAAAUUUAAACUGUACAUUAGAUCUCACUAGAAAGGAACACACUAAGAAGCAAUCAAAUCUUCAGCUUUUUAGAACAUUCACAUGUUUCCCCAUCUACUCCCCAACACCCCAAGAUAUCUAGUAUUACCAUUGUUGUGGACAAACUGCAACCUAACUUAAUAGGCAGACAAGAUUGAAAACCUAACUUAGUAGUAUGUACCUGUAACAAUAGCUGAGUCUUGGCCAAUCCCAGCAGCCAUACUUCAAAGACUCAUACGCUGCUGAGUGUUCAAACUGUGUUCAAAUAAGGCAAAUGCCAAGCUAUAACCAAUCCAGUUGUUUCUGUAUCUCACUUUCAAUUCCUGUGUGUCAUUUCCCUGUUUUUGUCUAUAAAUUUAUUCUGACCAAAAGGCAUCCCUGGAGUCUCCCUAAAUUUACUGUGAUUCUGGGGGCUGCCCAAUUCACAAAUCAUUUAUUGCUCAAUCACACUCCUUUAAAUUCGGUUAAAGUUUUCCUUUUAACAGAUGGUGUCAGAAGCGGGGUCCAAAGUAGAGCUUCUAAUGACCCCAGGAAUGCUGAGUGAACAAGCAAGGUAGCUGCAAGGACCCUGCAAGGACCCACUUGUGUCCUUGAUUCCUCAGAGCGGCUGAGGGUUGUGAGAAUAUUGGAGCUGAGAAGAGAGAAACAAGAAGUCGUCUGCUAUGUCCAAGUAGAAUUCAGACAUGUUUUGGAAUACCUGGUGAACAAAGCAAAACAACCAAAAGGCAAAUGUAAAAACUAAUCCUAUGAGAAGAAGGAGAUAAUCAUGAUGCCCCACACCUAGUAAGAAAAUCUUAGUGUCAAAAGAGUGGCAAUGCUAAAUACUGGGGAUUUUCUGUCAACUGGGUUUGCGUUCUAACACAGACAAUCCUCAAUGACUUUAUGCCUCAUAUCCUUUUGAGUGUGAAGAAACUAUGAAAAAAAAAAAAAACUAAAACAACUGUUUCAUUAAAAUAUUGGCUAAAAGAAAAAAAAAAACCUGCACUACUUUUGAACCUUUCUAACAGAGUAUAACACGAAGAAAGACAUCAUCAUCCUCCCCCUACUUUAUCCCAGCUAAUCCGGCAGCUUUAGCUGUGAAAGAGAACAUUGGUGGAAAUGCCCAGCAGAGAGCACCAUAUGGCAAGAGACUGAAGUGCCUGGUGGAACAGCAGCUGUACUCAAUGGAAAGAGACUUAUUCGGGAGCAUAGCUGAGACAGCCCCCAGGGAUGUCUAGAAAUACAUGGGUAGAAGAACUUUGCAAAAGGCUAUAUGUCCUCUACAUUGAUAGUUACAGACAAAAAAAAAUGGUAUUUAAGUUAUUAACAUUAUUGCAACUCUCUUUAGUAACUCCAAUCCAAUGAAGCCUGGGAAAAUGUGUUAUAUAAAUAAAAAGGAUUAAUCCUUAUUUCCUCUAGGAAUAUUUCCAGCACUGUACGUGGUCUCAGUGGGCUUGAAUUAUUGAUCUGCAAAUCCCUUCUGCUGCAACACAAAGAGCAGAAAGGCAUUUGCCCUUCUUCACUAUGGACAUUCAGCUUUAACACUGAGUGAUGAGUGACAGUCUUAUAAAGCACUAUCUCAAAGUAAUAUAUUAUUAUUCUUAAUAGCAUUAUUAUUAUUAUUACAAGUAGGGAUUCUAAUUUGAUACACAAUUCCAAAGCCCAGCCCCUUGUCAUGUCCUUGAAGGAACAAAGCUAUGAAUAAAAACUGAAAGAGCUAUCCCACAAAUCUCUGCAACACAUAGGGUAUAUAUACACUACUUUGGAAUUCCUAAGUAUAACACAAAAGGAAAUAAGGGAGUCAGACCAUCCAAAGGCAUUGGGUUUGGUGGGUGUAGGGGGGCAGAGACAAAUGCUAUAAAACUUAGCAGAAUGACUUACAAAAGUGGCAGAGUCUGACAUGUCCAGCACAGCAGUACAUGCCAGUAAAAGAGCACGGAGAAACCCUAGCAUCCACUAGAGUAGUUGAAAACACUCCUCUCUCCUCUUCUUAUAGGGUCAGUGGCAAUUCCAAAGACUGCUGUGCCAAACAGAACUUAAGGAAGAGAGAGAACCUAGCCAAACAACACUUUCUCUUGCUAAAGUAAGUGCUCCAGAUCACCUUUCAAAUGCAAUUACCUAAUACAACCAUGGAUUUUAAAGUACAUAGGCAGUUUUGAUGGCAGAAAGAAUGAAAUUUCCCAUUUAUGUUAGAGUUUAUUUUUAACUCAGAAAUAAAGCAGAACAUCAUAAUUGUGCAUAUUUUUUUCUACUAUAUUAUGACCAUAACAGACAGUGAAGUACAAAAUGUGAAACUACAUUCUAAUAUAAUAUAGUCAUGCUGGAUAUUUUAGACAUUGUAUAUAUUUCACACAAGAACAUAUCUAAUAUGUUGAUUUACUAUAGCCUAUACAUUUGUCAAAAAAUCAGUAUUUUAAAAUACAGCAUUUUGAUGUCAUCUUUUACAUCACAUUUUUAUAGCCUAAAAUCAUGUUAAGGUUUUGUAUUAACUCUUUUAAUGCAAGGAUUCAAGACCUUGAGCAGGAUUCUAUUGAAGAAGCUUUCUUUAAGUGAAUUUACAUUAUUGAGAUUUUAUGAUUCAAUUGUUUCACAAUUCUAAUAGUAAUCCAGUAGGAGGAAAGAUUAUGUAUGUGUACAUGUGCACACACACACAAUUUAAGACCCCACAAUAAUAUCCAUUUUUUUUUUUUUGUGUGUGUGUGUGUGUGUGUGUGUGUCUACAAUAAUAUCCAUUUCAUUUAAACCACAUGAAUUGACAAGUACUUAACUCAUUAACCUCUGCGGUACUCAGGUAGAUGUUGAAUCAGAAAUUUAAAAGGCUUUUAAAAAUACAGACAGAAAACAAAGGAUAAAUUGAUGCACUCUUAUCUCUAAAUUACAGUUUCUUUUAUGUCAAGAAGUGUUGGCAAUACCAACUUCAAGGUCACUGUCAAUUUUGAAAAUCAUUAGCAAAUAAAAUAUGACUUAAUUGAAGCAAACUCAGCAUGGAACUGCAUUAUUUUAAGUAAAUGCUAUAUUAUAAUUUGAAGAAGAAUUACUAACUGCCACUCUCACUGACAAUUAAAUAAAUGAAGAUGGGGCUAUGCAACUUUCCCCCAUGUCUUUCCAUAAUUAAAUAUGGAAAUAGAAUUUGUGAAGAAUUAAAAGGCCCAAAGUGCAAUAAUUCAAACACUAAUGAACUGUUUUCCAGUGUGGCAGCACACAGGUAGUUCCCAGCAUGUUAUCAUUAGCAAAUAUGUCAGUAUCAUCAUUCCAAUCACAAACUUUGCUUGUGAAAUACACCUCUGAAAAAUAGAUUUCUAAUAGUUACCUGGGCUCUUCUAAAAGAAGAAAGAAGCUAAACUUUAUCAUUCAAAAUGUUAUAUAAAAUAACUUUUUUGUAGAAUUUCUCUUCACAAAUUAAAUUUAGCUAAAGUUUAACAUUUGUCACUUAGAGUCUUACACAACUCUUAAUUCUGUAUUUAAGCUUUAUUAGACAGCUUCAGCAGAUGUGAUUCACCAGUUAAGAAAGAAUCACAAUAAUUACCCAUCUAUUGGAUUAUUUUCUUAAUUUUCUAUCAAUAUGCACCUCUGGAAACUAAACCCACAUAUAGUAUUAAAUAUUAUUUCAAAAAGCAAGCAAAGAGUUACCCAGAAUUAUCGAAAAUUCAGAUAAGAUUUGAAUUAACAUUAUUACAGUAUCAAUUUGGCAGUAGUUUGUGAAGAACCUGUGUUUUUCUGCAGGAGAAACAGAAGAAAAUAAAGCCUUCAGCUACUGAGCUUUGCCACGCUAUCUCUAGUUCUCUCAAAUACAAGAUGAGGAUUUCAAAAAAUAUCACAAUUCCGUUUGUAUUAAACUUUGCUGAAUCUUCUUGAAUAUUAUGAACUAUGUCUUUAACUGAUACAGAAAACUACGUUUUUAUAUGUUUUUAAAUUACAUCUAGAUUUUUAUUCCAAUAAAUAAAUAAUAAGUUGUAUUGAUUCAAUACUUAUUAAAUUAGGCCAUCAAAUAAAUUAGGUCAUCAAAUAAAUGUCUUCUUCUUCUUCCUUAUUUCUAUAAAUAAUAAUUUAGCCAGGAAGUAAUCAAGUUUUAUAUGUCUAAGUAAUGCUUAUUCAUGUGGGGAAAGGAUUUUAUACAUGCAGGGAAGCUUGGAGGCAUCAUUGUGGCCUUCUAAUAGAUGACACAUUAUUCUGAAACAAAAAAAAAAUAGCUUAAAGCAAGAAUUACAUUUUGAGAUGUAAGUUAUGAGUGAUUAGGGAAUUAUUAAGCUAAAGCCAAGAAUCUAUGACUAAUUGUGAAGAAUACUUAUUCCAAUAUGUUAGACCAUAGUUAUUUUUCUCAGGAUAUUUUAGGUAAGGAAACUGAGCACAAAGAUUAAGUAACUUGGCCAAGGACUAAUAACUAUUAAGUGGUAGAGUCAGGACACAUAACCAGGAAGUCUGGCUCCAUUACACUUCUUUGCAUAACUUGUCCGUCACCUUGGGGAGAAUAUCCUAAUAUCAAAUCAUAAGACCAUUUCACUGGAGUUUUUACAGAAUUGAACCUAUUGUUCACAUAAGAAUAUCUUACUCAAAUAUUUAAGAUACUUAAAUAUCUUAAUGAAGAUUAAUUGUCACAUUGUUAUUAAUAGGAUGAUGGGACAGUCAAGGCCUAGAAGACCAGGUAUGUCAUAGAGAGAGAGAAUGAAAUAUUCUUGAGACAAAAACUCCCAUGGCCAGAAAGAAAUGGGAAUUCUUAUGGUUAGAAAAGGAAACAUGUAACUUAUAUUAUCCUUACUUUUCAUGUUACCAGAAUUAAUCUGGUUCUUCAAAAGUUUUAUAGCAUGAAACAAUCCAUUAGUCUUAAAAUAUCUGCCUACUACUGUAUUUAAACACAAAAUGUAUUAUUUCUAGUUUGUUCCAUAAUCAAUAGGAAUUCUUCUAAAAACUUAAAAAUCAAAAAUUA